rnacentral:rRNA from 1 species
ACUGGUAGGCUUGGGACCGGGAGAGGUGGGAGGUACUCCAGGGGUAGGGGUGAAAUCUCGUAAUCCUUGGGGGACCACCAAUGGCGAAGGCAUCCCACCAGAACGGGUCCGACGGUGAGGGACGAAAGCUGGGGGCACGAACCAGAUUAGAUACCCGGGUAGUCCCAGCUGUAAACGAUGCUCGCUAGGUGUCAGGUGCGGUGCGACCGCAU